UCGAAGAGCUAUAAUACCGGUUUCAUGACUCUCAAAUAGACUGAACCAAUCUCGAUACAUCCUGAGUACAGAUCUUCUCAUCUCUAUGCGAACUACUUUAGGUCUUUAUGUCUUUGAAUGAGGGUAAAAAACUUUCCCCCUUCAAUUCGGUUCGAUAUACCCUCAUUCAAAGACAUAAAAUCUGAGGGAGAUUCAUUCCACCUUCAUCAUGCCUUAGAGAGAAUCUCUUACCAAGGAACCGAUCUAAAGAUCCUUGAUAGAUGCGAAAUUCAAUAAGGACUACUCCAAAGGUUCCUUCACCAUAUAUGAUUUAUGAAUUGGUGAGAGAUCUCGGUAUUUAUGAAGAGGUGUCAUAGAUCCCAUGGUUUUAUUAUAUUUUUGUGAAAAGAGUCAUCACUAGAACUUACAUCUCCAACGCUCAUCUUCCUCAACCUUCUGAAAUUGAAUUGGUCGGAUAACAAUACUUUUCUCAAAAACAACCCGUUGUAGCCGGUUUCAUCUUCUCCGUAUACGGAGUAUACGACCACGUCCCCCCCUCCUUUGUAUUGUUCCAAGACAGCUUUAAACAAUGAAGCAGCCAUGCACGUGUUCAAUGUUUAAGAUCCGAGCACUCUAUCAGUGGUAGUGUGUUCUUCUUCUUCUCCCCUUUACCAUUCUUGGCAUGAGCUGCAAUGUGGAUGUAGAGAAGGUCUCUUGGUAUAGCUUCCAUUACUAGUUUCCUCACGUCCAUCUUGAUAUUUCUUUGAUUCGGAACUCUAUGACCUCCCAUGUCACAAAGUAUUUGUAUAUUUCCUUCUUUGAAUUUGUAAUACGUGGCAAGAAAUUCUUUUAAUACCCUAACUUCUGUCAAAGCAUGGGAUAAGAUUCGGUCGUCUUCUUUUUCGUUGGGAUAAACUACUCCAAUGAGUAUGGCCUUUUUGGAAGGGGAUUGGUUUGUAGGGCUGUUCUGUUUUGCUUUUUUGCUUUGUGUACGAGAUUCUCUUAUCCUUACUACCCUCUUAGUUGGUUGUGAUGGUUCACCUCUUGCACAUUGUUUAUUUAAGUACUGUAAUGACAAAUGAUAAAGAUAUAAAUUAUCUGUACAAUGAUUACUACUUUUGUCUAAUAUUAAACAUUUGUUAGCAUUUUUUCUCA